rnacentral:lncRNA from 13 species
GUGGCCAUGGGCUACGCGCACUCGCUGGUGAUCGCCCGGGACGAGUCGGAGGCGGAGCAGGAGAAGCUGCGGAAGCUGCCCGAGUACAACCCGCGCACGCUCUGAGCUGUUCUCCCGGAGCACAGCCCCGCCCGUCCCGAUCCCGCUCCCGCUCCCGCUCCCGCUCCCGAGCCCUCGGGGGCUCCUUCCCGGCCCCUUCCCGGCGCCGGGAGCUGCCGCCGGCCGCGGGCCCUCCGGGCUCGCCCCGCCUCGGCUUCCACGGGCUCCGCCCUUGCGUCCUUCUGGUUUGGUUUCUCUCUUCCCGCAGCAUUUCCUUCCCGUUUCCCUUUUUCCCGGCCCCGACCCUUCCCGGCUGCCGGCUCGGGAUCGCCCUGGGGAUCUGAUCCCGCCUUGGGAUCCCUGUAGGGAUUCGGGAUCCCUAAAGAGCAGCUGCGAACGCCUCUUUCCCCGCCCCAAUAUUCCCGGUUUUUUGCUGGUUUUCCCCACUUCGGGUGCUAUCGUUUUCGGGAUUUCCCCCCUCCUGGGGAUCCAGGACCCGGAUUCCAUCCCAGCAGCAUUCCCGGGCUCCCCUCCCCGCUGUGGCAGCCCUCGCCCACCCCGGGGACAUCUCAGGGAUCACGAGGGGAGUCCCAAAGGAGCUUUUUGUUGGUUUGUUUUUUUGGUUUUUCCCGGGAAUCCCGGCGCGGGGGGAGCAGCUGGCUGGAAAAUCCCAAAUCCCGCUUUUUUUAGCAAUAUUUCGGGGUUCGGCCGCAGCCCCGAGGAAUUGGGGUGGGGAAUCACCAAAACCCCACUCGGAGCCCCGGGAGCCUCGGGGGGGCCGUUCCCGAGGGAAUCCCGAGAGGCUCCCGGGCCGUUCCCGAGGGAAUCCCGAGAGGCUCCCGGGCCGCUCCCGAGGGAUUCCCGAGAGGCUCCCGGGCCGUUCCCGAGCGGUUCCCGAGGGGUUCCCGGGCCGUUCCCGAGGCAUUCCCGGGCCGUUCCCGGGGCAUUCCCGGGCCGUUCCCGGGGCAUUCUCGGGCCGUUCCCGAGGCGUUCCCGGGGCAUUCCCGGGCCGUUCCCGGGGCAUUCCCGGGCCGUUCCCGAGCGGUUCCCGGGCCGUUCCCGGGGCAUUCCCGGGCCGUUCCCGAGGGGUUCCCGGGCCGUUCCCGAGGCGUUCCCGGGGCAUUCCCGGGCCGUUCCCGAGGGAUUCCCGGGCCGUUCCCGAGGCAUUCCCGGGCCGUUCCCGGGGCAUUCCCGGGCCGUUCCCGAGGGGUUCCCGGGCCGUUCCCGAGGCGUUCCCGGGGCAUUCCCGGGCCGUUCCCGAGGGAUUCCCGGGCCGUUCCCGGGGCAUUCCCGGGCCGUUCCCGAGCGGUUCCCGAGGGAUUCCCGGGCCGUUCCCGAGGCGUUCCCGGGGCAUUCCCGGCGCGGAGGGGCCGGGCCGGGGGAGGAUCCGGGGGUUUUUGUAUUUCUUGGAGUAAAAAGCGAUGGAACGAGGUCGUUGUGUCCCCCCCGCGCCGCCCCCGGCCCUUCCCGUGCGGUUCGGGUUUAAAUCCCCGGGUUUUGGUGUUUCUCCCUCCUCGCCUCUUUAUUAUUCAAUUUUUUACUUUUCUUUCUUUUUUUCCUCCUUCCCGGGUUUUAUUUUCCCCCCGUUCUCAAUCCCGUUCUUCUCUUUUGCUUCCUUUUAAUCUCUUCAUUUGAAUUUCUGCUUCUUGAGCUGGUAAAUUCCACUCGGAACUGCAUUUUUUCCUUUUCAUUUCUCCUUUUCCGCUUCUUUAUUUUAAUUCAUCUUCUCGCUUUUAGUCCUAAUUUUUAAUUGUUUGUCUCGUUUUUCAAUUCUGCUUUUAAUUUCAUUUUAAUUUCUUUCCACUUGGACCUUUAUUUGAUAUUUUUGACUCUACUUUUUUAUUUCAAUCCAGCUUUAAGGUUUCUUUUACUUUUUUCCCCUCUGAUUUUUGAUUUUAUUUCAUUUCUGAAUUCUCCUUUUCAUUUCUGAAUUCCGCUUUUCAGUUUUUAUUUUGAAAUUCAAGAUUUUAUCCUAUUUUACCCUCAUUUUUUAAUCUUUUUUUCAAUUUUUAAAUUUGAAUUUGAAUUUUUAUUUUUCUUUUUUUCCCUUCAGUUUCACUUUUUUCACUCCCUAUUUUUCAAUGCUCAAUAUUUAUUUUACCUCGUUCCUUUUUGUUUUGCUGCUUUUUAUUUUCACCUCUUGCUCCACACCUUUCCCAAUCAUUUUUUGGCCUGGAAUUUUCGCUUUUAAAACUUUUCUGUUCCGUUUUUUACGCUCCCGUUUUGUUCCUUCCGUUCCCCGAGGGCCCCGCAGCCGACGCUGCUCUUUCCCAAAUCCGCCGGCGCCAUCCUGAACAUCCCCAACAAUUCCCGCUCCCGCUUUUCCCUCUGUGGGGAAUUCCAUCCCUGCGGAAUUCCGGCAGGGCUCGGACACGGCCCCUGUCCCGCUGCCCCGGGGAUGGGCUGGGAUCCCUGGGAUGGGGGCGUGGAUUCCCAAUGGGAAUGGGAAUGGGAAUGGAUGGGAGUGGGAAUGGGAAUGAAUGGGAAUGGGCAGGGGAUGGAUGGGAGUUGGGAGGGGAUGGGAAUGAGGAGGGAAUGGGCGGGGGAUGGAUGGGAAUUGGGAAUGGAUGGGAAUGGGCAGGGAAUGGGAAUGGGAAUGGGCAGGGGAUGGAUGGGAAUUGGGAGGGAAUGGGAAUUGAGAGGGGAUGAGAACGAGGAGGGAAUGGGAAUGGGCAGGAGAUGGAUGGGAGUGGGCAGGGAAUUGAGGGAAUGGGAAUGGGAAUGAGGAGGGAAUGGAUGGGAAUGGGCAGGGAUGGAAGUGAUGGAAUGAGAAUGAGCAGGCCAUGGGAAUUGGGAGGGGAUGGGAAUGGGCAGGGAAUGGGAAUGAAUGGGAAUGGGCAGGGGAUGGAUGGGAAUGAAUGGGAAUGGGCAGGGAAUGGGAAUGGGCAGGGGAUGGAUGGGAAUGGGCAGGGAAUGGGAAUGAAUGGGAAUGGGCAGGGGAUGGAUGGGAAUGAAUGGGAAUGGGCAGGGAAUGGGAAUGGGCAGGGG